rnacentral:misc_RNA from 1 species
GGACUACUAGGGUAUCUAAUCCGGUUUGCUCCCCCAGCUUUCAUCCCUCACCGUCGGACGUGUUCUGGUAGACCGCCUUCGCCACAGGUGGUCAUCAAUAGAUCAAAGGAUUUUACCCCUUCCUACCGAGUACCGUCUACCUCUCCCACUCCCUAGCUCUGCAGUAUUCCCGGCAGCCUGUACGUUGAGCGUACAGAUUUAACCGAAAACUUACAGAGCCGGCUACGGAUGCUUUAGGCCCAAUAAUCAUCCUGACCACUUGAGGUGCUGGUUUUACCGCGGCUGCUGGCACG